rnacentral:rRNA from 1 species
CCCCUAGUAACUGCGAGUGAAGCGGGAAAAGCUCAAAUUUAAAAUCUGGCAGUCUUUGGCUGUCCGAGUUGUAAUCUAGAGAAGUGUUAUCCGCGCUGGACCGUGUACAAGUCUCCUGGAAUGGAGCGUCAUAGAGGGUGAGAAUCCCGUCUUUGACACGGACUACCAGGGCUUUGUGAUGCGCUCUCAAAGAGUCGAGUUGUUUGGGAAUGCAGCUCAAAAUGGGUGGUAAAUUCCAUCUAAAGCUAAAUAUUGGCGAGAGACCGAUAGCGAACAAGUACCGUGAGGGAAAGAUGAAAAGAACUUUGGAAAGAGAGUUAAACAGUACGUGAAAUUGCUGAAAGGGAAACGCUUGAAGUCAGUCGCGUUGUCCAGGGAUCAACCUUGCUUUUGCUUGGUGUACUUUCUGGUUAACGGGUCAGCAUCAAUUUUGAUCAUUGGAAAAAGAUUAGGGGAAUGUGGCAUCUUUGGAUGUGUUAUAGCCCUURGUUGCAUACAAUGAUUGGGAUUGAGGAACUCAGCACGCCGCAAGGCCGGGUUUUUAACCACGUACGUGCUUAGGAUGCUGGCAUAAUGGCUUUAAUCGACCCGUCUUGAAACACGGACCAAGGAGUCUAACAUGCCUGCGAGUGUUUGGGUGGAAAACCCGAGCGCGUAAUGAAAGUGAAAGUUGAGAUCCCUGUCGUGGGGAGCAUCGACGCCUGGACCAGACCUUUUGUGACGGUUCCACGGUAGAGCAUGUAUGUUGGGACCCGAAAGAUGGUGAACUAUGCCUGAAUAGGGUGAAGCCAGAGGAAACUCUGGUGGAGGCUCGUAGCGAUUCUGACGUGCA